rnacentral:rRNA from 1 species
CCUACGGGUGGCUGCAGUGGGGAAUAUUGGACAAUGGGCGAAAGCCUGAUCCAGCCAUGCCGCGUGUGUGAAGAAGGCCUUCGGGUUGUAAAGCACUUUCAGUGGGGAAGAAAGCCUUGGGGCUAAUACCCUCGAGGAAGGACAUCACCCACAGAAGAAGCACCGGCUAACUCCGUGCCAGCAGCCGCGGUAAUACGGAGGGUGCGAGCGUUAAUCGGAAUUACUGGGCGUAAAGCGCGCGUAGGCGGUCUGAUAAGCCGGUUGUGAAAGCCCCGGGCUCAACCUGGGAACGGCAUCCGGAACUGUCAGGCUAGAGUGCAGGAGAGGAAGGUAGAAUUCCCGGUGUAGCGGUGAAAUGCGUAGAGAUCGGGAGGAAUACCAGUGGCGAAGGCGGCCAUCUGGACUGACACUGACGCUGAGGUGCGAAAGCGUGGGUAGCAAACAGGAUUAGAUACCCCGGUAGUC